rfam:Parcubacteria bacterium GW2011_GWA2_47_64 TY03_C0027, whole genome shotgun sequence.
GCCACCCUAGCUCAACUGGUAGAGCAAUGGUAUCGUAAACCAUAGGUUGCCGGUUCAAGUCCGGCGGGUGGCU